rnacentral:rRNA from 1 species
GACGAACGCUGGCGGCGUGCUUAACACAUGCAAGUCGAACGAAGAGCGACGGAAGCUUGCUUCUAUCAAUCUUAGUGGCGAACGGGUGAGUAACGCGUAAUCAACCUGCCCUUCAGAGGGGGACAACAGUUGGAAACGACUGCUAAUACCGCAUACGAUCUAAUCUCGGCAUCGAGGAUAGAUGAAAGGUAGCCUCUACAUGUAAGCUAUCACUGAAGGAGGGGAUUGCGUCUGAUUAGCUAGUUGGAGGGGUAACGGCCCACCAAGGCGAUGAUCAGUAGCCGGUCUGAGAGGAUGAACGGCCACAUUGGGACUGAGACACGGCCCAGACUCCUACGGGAGGCAGCAGUGGGGAAUCUUCCGCAACGGACGAAAGUCUGACGGAGCAACGCCGCGUGAGUGAUGACGGCCUUCGGGUUGUAAAGCUCUGUUAAUCGGGACGAAAGGCCUUCUUGCAAAUAGUGAGAAGGAUUGACGUACCGGAAUAGAAGCC